CAUGUCUUUUUGAGUAUAAUUUAAGGUUUAAUCUGCACAAUGAGAGUUAAAUUGCCGCAGUAUUUUGACUGUGCAAAGGUAGCAUAAUAAAUAGUUUCUUGAUUAGAAGCUGGUAUGAAUGAUUGAACGAGAGAAUUUCUGUCUCUUAUUAAUUUUUUGUUGAAUUUUAUUUUUAAGUUAAAAAGCUUAAAUUUUUGUAAAAGACGAGAAGACCCUAUAGAGUUUAAUAUUUAAAGUUAAUUAGAAAGUAGAGUAGUUUUUUGAUGGAAGUAUUUGGUUGGGGUGAUUUAUUGAUUUAUAAAAUUCUUUAAAUAUUUAAUUAAUGAUUAUUAAUUUUUUUAUCUAAUUUUUUUAAAUUUAAAAUUAAUUACCUUAGGGAUAACAGCGUAAUUUUUUUUUUAAGCUCUAAUUGAAAAAAAAUUUUGCGACCUCGAUGUUGGAUUAAAAUAAAUUUUUGGUGCAGUAACUUAAAAAUUAGGUCUGUUCGACCUUUAAUAUU
rnacentral:rRNA from 1 species